CGGUGGCGGAACGGUAGACGCAGCGGACUUAAAAUCCGAUGCCUGCAAAAAGGCGUGCGGGUUCGAAUCCCGCUCGGG
rnacentral:tRNA from 1 species